rnacentral:ncRNA from 2 species
AGUGCUCUAACGGGGUGCCUUUCGAUCCUUCGGGACCGAAAUGCUGAGAGGCGUCAGCCAACCCGCGGAACCUGAUCCGGUUAACACCGGCGGAGGGAUUAGACGCGUCGAUCGC